rnacentral:rRNA from 1 species
CCUACGGGGGGCAGCAGUGGGGAAUAUUGGGCAAUGGGCGCAAGCCUGACCCAGCAACGCCGCGUGAAGGAAGAAGGCUUUCGGGUUGUAAACUUCUUUUCUGAGGGACGAAGAAAGUGACGGUACUUCAGGAAUAAGCCACGGCUAACUACGUGCCAGCAGCCGCGGCAAUACGUAGGUGGCAAGCGUUAUCCGGAUUUAUUGGGUGUAAAGGGCGUGUAGGCGGGAAAGCAAGUCAGAUGUGAAAACUCAGGGCUCAACCCUGAGCCUGCAUUUGAAACUGUUUUUCUUGAGUGCUGGAGAGGCAAUCGGAAUUCGGUGUGUAGCGGUGAAAUGCGUAGAUAUACGGAGGAACACCAGUGGCGAAGGCGGAUUGCUGGACAGUAACUGACGCUGAGGCGCGAAAGCGUGGGGAGCAAACAGGAUUAGAUACCCCAGUAGUC